AUUUAAAUAGUUUAAUAAAAAUAAUAGAAUGUGACUCUAUAGAUGUUCUACUUUAAAUU
rnacentral:tRNA from 1 species